CUUGCUUUCUUUGCUGGCGACCGGCGCACGGGUGAGUAACACGUAUCCAACCUGCCCUUUACUCGGGGAUAGCCUUUCGAAAGAAAGAUUAAUACCCGAUAGUAUAAUGAUUCCGCAUGGUGGAACUAUUAAAGAAUUUCGGUCAUCGAUGGGGAUGCGUUCCAUUAGGUUGUUGGCGGGGUAACGGCCCACCAAGCCUUCGAUGGAUAGGGGUUCUGAGAGGAAGGUCCCCCACAUUGGAACUGAGACACGGUCCAAACUCCUACGGGAGGCAGCAUG
rnacentral:rRNA from 1 species